rnacentral:rRNA from 1 species
AUUGAACGCUGGCGGCAUGCUUUACACAUGCAAGUCGAACGGUAACAGGUUAAGCUGACGAGUGGCGAACGGGUGAGUAAUGCAUCGGAACGUGCCCGGUCGUGGGGGAUAACGCAGCGAAAGCUGCGCUAAUACCGCAUACGAUCUGAGGAUGAAAGCGGGGGACCGUAAGGCCUCGCGCGAUCGGAGCGGCCGAUGUCAGAUUAGGUAGUUGGUGGGGUAAAGGCCUACCAAGCCGACGAUCUGUAGCUGGUCUGAGAGGACGACCAGCCACACUGGGACUGAGGCACGGCCCAGACUCCUGCGGGAGGCAGCAGUGGGGAAUUUUGGACAAUGGGCGCAAGCCUGAUCCAGCAAUGCCGCGUGCAGGAAGAAGGCCUUCGGGUUGUAAACUGCUUUUGUACGGAGCGAAAAGGCUCUCUCUAAUACAGGGGGUUCAUGACGGUACCGUAAGAAUAAGCACCGGCUAACUACGUGCCAGCAGCCGCGGUAACAC